GAUGAACGCUAGCGGCAGGCUUAAUACAUGCAAGUCGUGGGGCAGCAUGAGUAGCAAUACUUGAUGGCGACCGGCAAACGGGUGAGGAACACGUACACAACCUUCCUUCAAGCGGGGAAUAGCCCAGAGAAAUUUGGAUUAAUACCCCAUAAUAUAUUUGAUAAGGCAUCUUAUUAAUAUUAAAGCUUCGGCACUUGAUGAUGGGUGUGCGGCUGAUUAGAUAGUUGGCGGGUAACGGCCCACCAAGUCUACGAUCAGUAGCUGAUGUGAGAGCAUGAUCAGCCACACGGGCACUGAGACACGGGCCCGACUCCUACGGGAGGCAGCAGUAAGGAAUAUUGGACAAUGGACGAAAGUCUGAUCCAGCCAUGCCGCGUGAAGGAUUAAGGUCCUCUGGAUUGUAAACUUCUUUAUAUGGGACGAAAAAGGGCAUUCUUGUUCACUUGACGGUACCAUAUGAAUAAGCACCGGCUAAACUCCGUGCCAGCA
rnacentral:rRNA from 1 species